AUUGAACGCUGGCGGCAGGCCUAACACAUGCAAGUCGAGCGGAUGAAGGGAGCUUGCUCCUGGAUUCAGCGGCGGACGGGUGAGUAAUGCCUAGGAAUCUGCCUGGUAGUGGGGGAUAACGUCCGGAAACGGGCGCUAAUACCGCAUACGUCCUGAGGGAGAAAGUGGGGGAUCUUCGGACCUCACGCUAUCAGAUGAGCCUAGGUCGGAUUAGCUAGUUGGUGGGGUAAAGGCCUACCAAGGCGACGAUCCGUAACUGGUCUGAGAGGAUGAUCAGUCACACUGGAACUGAGACACGGUCCAGACUCCUACGGGAGGCAGCAGUGGGGAAUAUUGGACAAUGGGCGAAAGCCUGAUCCAGCAAUGCCGCGUGUGUGAAGAAGGUCUUCGGAUUGUAAAGCAAUUUAAGUUGGGAGGAAGGGAAGUAAGUUAAUACCUUGCUGUUUUGACGUUACCAACAGAAUAAGCACCGGCUAACUUCGUG
rnacentral:rRNA from 1 species